rnacentral:misc_RNA from 1 species
CCAGCAACUUGAUCCACUCUCAUUGCCGAUGAAUCUAACCAGCGGACUGGUGCUGUAUUUCGCCCGCCAAUAUGACCGCGCAAUAGAAGAACUGCGAAGGGUUAUCGAAUUGGACGCGAACUUUGCCGCCGCGCACAGCACUCUUGGUCUUGCCUACACCUACCGGCAAAUGUGCGACGAAGCGAUCGCUGAGUUUCAAAAAGCAUCCGUUCUCGCCGGCGGCUCUUCCGAAACGGAAACCUACACUAAUGCGCUGACUGCCUAUUGCUACGCAGUCUGUGGCAGAACGGAGGAGGCCAAGACAUUCCUUAAUGAGAUAGCUCAACAAGCAACGAUGCCGCCUUAUGUGCUGGGGAUGAUCCAUGCCCAGCUUGGUGAACACGGUCUUGCAAUGGACUGG